UCACACGCUCUCCCGAGACCGAGAGUCUCAAGUCUAUGAAGCCGAGCGAUGAUGAUCCAUGUAUGUAGGUGUCCCAAGUAAGCCAAUCUCUCCGCCUUUCCUUAAUCUCAGAACGUGAAACCCUAAUCCGCAAGAUCGCAACUCGUUUCGUGACUCAGUUACUGUUUCUCAAAACCCUAAAACCUCGUCGGAUCUGUCUCUCGCGUCUCUUGUUCAGCCACUGCCAACUUUCCCGGCGCUAUAUCUCCGCACUUCUUCUCUGAUGUGUAACGCGGCCGAUCCCUACAAUUUCCGACGCCCGAAGAACCUCCCCUUGAGGUCUGUUUUUUUUUUUUCUUUCUCAGGCGAUGAUCCAUACAUAUGUCGAAGUAAGCCACUCUCUCUGUAAGAGGGAUGAUGCAAAGCCAUUGUUCCUUAUCUAUCCACAGUAUCUAUCUAUGGUCCAAUUGCUCGGCAAGGGUUUCUCCGGUUCUUGGUCUGGGUUUUACGGGAUCUUUAGCUCAGAUUCUUUCUUAAUUUGUACUUCUUCAUAUUUAAUUGCAACAAUUACUAGUGUGCUCGCUGAUGGUGCAGAGGACAACAGUUGGCUCUUGCGUUCCAUCCGUGUGCUCUCUGCUGCUGCAGAGGGAUCUUAAUCUGAUUCACGAGUAUUAUGCCAAUCACAGGAGAAGGUGAUCUUGUUUGCGCAUUGCCAAACAGUUGAGCAGUUGUGUUAUACUAAACGUCACAUGCAACGUUUUCCAGUGUCUCAGCAUCUUCUUUGACUUCAAAAUGGGUGGGUGAGGCUAAGAAGCUUGUUAAUACGCUAUUUCAAGUUGCAAUAUCCAGGCAACCUUCUGUGAUAUUAUGGAUCAAGAGCUACUAACAAGCCACAGGAGUAGGAUGAUGCAGUGCUUAGUUUGGUGAAGAGAAUGUAUGUACCAUUGCCGGAUCCGAACGUCAGAAAGUUUACUUUUUAAAACUAAACUGAAGAGUCAGCCUCACUCUUUAUCCGGUCGCGACAUUGAAAAAAUCGUCAGAGAAAC